CCUUCGAUAGCUCAGUUGGUAGAGCGGAGGACUGUAGGUUGAUAAGCGUAGACAUCCUUAGGUUGCUGGUUCGACUCUGGCUAGAAGGA
rnacentral:tRNA from 1 species